AUUGAACGCUGGCGGCAUGCUUUACACAUGCAAGUCGAACGGCAGCGGGGUAGUGCUUGCACUACUGUCCGGCGAGUGGCGAACGGGUGAGUAAUAUAUCGGAACGUACCGAGUAAUGGGGGAUAACCAAUCGAAAGAUUGGCUAAUACCGCAUACGUCCUACGGGAGAAAGCGGGGGAUCGCAAGACCUCGCGUUAUUCGAGCGGCCGAUAACUGAUUAGCUAGUUGGUGGGGUAAAGGCCUACCAAGGCGACGAUCAGUAGCGGGUCUGAGAGGACGAUCCGCCACACUGGGACUGAGACACGGCCCAGACUCCUACGGGAGGCAGCAGUGGGGAAUUUUGGACAAUGGGGGCAACCCUGAUCCAGCCAUGCCUCGUGUAUGAAGAAGGCCUUCGGGUUGUAAAGUACUUUUGGUAGGGAAUAAAAGGGUAGUGCUAUGACCACUUUUUGCUGACUGUACCUAAAGAAAAAGCACCGGCUAACUACGUGCCAGCAGGCGCGGAAUACGUAGGGGUGAAGCGUGUAUCUGAAUUACGGGGCUAAAGUGUGCGUGACUAUUUUUAAUCUGUAUGUUAAUCCCUCGGGCUUAACCUGGAAAUUGUGUUGUGAUGGGUAGCUGUUGUGUUGAGAUGGGGUGUGAUAUAGUAGUUUGUGAUGUGAAUUGUGUGGUGGUGGUAUGUGUUGUGAUGUGGUUGUGUUUUCUGUGGGUGUGCUGUGGGUGUGUGUGUUGUG
rnacentral:rRNA from 1 species